rnacentral:rRNA from 1 species
UACGAAGGUGGCAAGCGUUGUUCGGAUUUACUGGGCGUACAGGGAGCGUAGGCGGUUGGAUAAGCCCUCCGUGAAAUCUCCAGGCUUAACCUGGAAAGUGCAGAGGGGACUGUUCAGCUAGAGGAUGGGAGAGGAGCGCGGAAUUCCCGGUGUAGCGGUGAAAUGCGUAGAGAUCGGGAGGAACACCAGUGGCGAAGGCGGCGAUCUGGGUCGAUACUGACGCUGAGGUGCGAAAGCGUGGGGAGCAAACAGG